rnacentral:misc_RNA from 1 species
UGAAAUGCGAUAAUUAAUGUGAAUUGCAUUAUCUCGUGAAUCAUCGAGUCUUUGAACGCAUCUUGCACUUUUCAGGUCUCCUGAAAAGUAUACUUGUUUGAGUAUCAUUAACAUUAACUCCAAGUGUGUGUGCUUACACGCAUGCUCUUGGGAAUUGGGACUUCAAGUUGCCUUGCGUAGCUUGUGACCUUUAAUUGAUACGUGGAGUGAUUCUGCGUGUGUGUGAACACACACACCAGAAGCCUAACAAUCAAAUGUGAGAUAAAUAUCGCACAAAGUAGUUGACAGGUUAAGCUUUGCUACGCCUAGAGGCUUCGGCCUCAACUCUGAUCUGUGAUCUCAAAUCAAGUAAGACUACCCGCUGAACUUAA